rnacentral:rRNA from 1 species
UACGGAGGAUGCAAGCGUUAUCCGGAAUUAUUGGGCGUAAAGCGGCCGCAGGUGGCUAUGUAAGUCUGCUGUUAAAGAGUCUAGCUCAACUCGAUAAGAGCAGUGGAAACUACAUGGCUAGAGUGCGUUCGGGGCAGAGGGAAUUCCUGGUGUAGCGGUGAAAUGCGUAGAGAUCAGGAAGAACACCGGUGGCGAAGGCGGCAUCCUGGACCGGUAUUGACGCUGAGGCGCGAAAGCCAGGGGAGCAAACGGG